AACUUUGCAUCUGCCAGGGUCUACGACUUUAUCGUUGCCGGUUUGGAUUCGGUGGAAUAGUGCGUCAUGAUGAUGACUGCAGGUAACUGUAGAAUACAGGUAGUCGGGCCUCCAGCUCUUCUCGCAUGAUGGUAGAGCUUAUUGCUACUUUAGAUACCGUUAAACAUGCGAAUAAGUCCUCCGCUGCUUCUAGGGAGGUGAUGUCGGGUACUUCUUCA
rnacentral:lncRNA from 1 species